rnacentral:rRNA from 1 species
UACAGAGGUCCCAAGCGUUGUUCGGAUUCACUGGGCGUAAAGGGUGCGUAGGUGGUUGGGUAAGUCUGAUGUGAAAUCUCCGGGCUCAACCCGGAAAUGGCAUUGGAUACUAUUCAACUCGAGGAGUUGGAGGGGGGACUGGAAUACUUGGUGUAGCAGUGAAAUGCGUAGAUAUCAAGUGGAACACCAGUGGCGAAGGCGAGUCCCUGGACAACUCCUGACACUGAGGCACGAAAGCUAGGGGAGCAAACAGG